AACGGCCAUACCAUGCUGAAUAUAACGGUUCUCGUUAGAUCACCGAAGUCAAGCAUUAUUGGGCGCGGUCAGUACUUGGUUGUCAAAAUUUGGGAACACCGCGUGCCGUU